GAUGAACGCUGGCGGCGUGCCUAAUACAUGCAAGUCGAGCGAACAGACGAGGAGCUUGCUCCUUUGACGUUAGCGGCGGACGGGUGAGUAACACGUAGGUAACCUACCUAUAAGACUGGGAUAACUUCGGGAAACCGGAGCUAAUACCGGAUAAUAUUUCGAACCGCAUGGUUCGAUAGUGAAAGAUGGCUUUGCUAUCACUUAUAGAUGGACCUGCGCCGUAUUAGCUAGUUGGUAAGGUAACGGCUUACCAAGGCAACGAUACGUAGCCGACCUGAGAGGGGGAUCGGCAACACGGGACCUGAGCCCGGGCCAAGACUCCUCGGGGAGGAACAAGUGGGGACUCUUCCGCAAGGGGCAAAAGCCGGACGGAGCACCGCCGCGGGAGGGAUAAAGGUCUUCGGAUCGUAAAACUCUUUUAUGGGGAAAAAAAAAACGUGAAAGAAACUGGGCGCGUCUUGAGGGUACCUAAUCAGAAAGCCACGGCAAACUCCGUC
rnacentral:rRNA from 1 species